GAUGAACGCUAGCGGCAGGCUUAACACAUGCAAGUCGAGGGGCAACAUAAUGGUAGUAAUACUAUUGAUGGCGACCGGCGGACGGGUGCGUAACGCGUAUGCAACCUACCCUUUACAGGGGGAUAACACUGAGAAAUCGGUACUAAUACCCCAUAAUAUUCUGGGAGGCAUCUUUCGGAGUUGAAAGCUUUGGUGGUAAAGGAUGGGCAUGCGUUGUAUUAGCUAGUUGGUAAGGUAACGGCUUACCAAGGCGACGAUACAUAGGGGGACUGAGAGGUUAACCCCCCACAUUGGUACUGAGACACGGACCAAACUCCUACGGGAGGCAGCAGUGAGGAAUAUUGGUCAAUGGACGGAAGUCUGAACCAGCCAUGCCGCGUGCAGGAAGACGGCUCUAUGAGUUGUAAACUGCUUUUGUACGAGGGUAAACGCAGAUACGUGUAUCUGCCUGAAAGUAUCGUACGAAUAAGGAUCGGCUAACUCCGUGCCAGCAGCCGCGGUAAUACGGAGGAUCCAAGCGUUAUCCGGAUUUAUUGGGUUUAAAGGGUGCGUAGGCGGUUUAGUAAGUCAGCGGUGAAAUUUUGGUGCUUAACACCAAACGUGCCGUUGAUACUGCUGGGCUAGAGAGUAGUUGCGGUAGGCGGAAUGUAUGGUGUAGCGGUGAAAUGCUUAGAGAUCAUACAGAACACCGAUUGCGAAGGCAGCUUACCAAACUAUAUCUGACGUUGAGGCACGAAAGCGUGGGGAGCAAACAGGAUUAGAUACCCUGGUAGUCCACGCAGUAAACGAUGAUAGAUCGUUGUCGGCGAUACACAGUCGGUGACUAAGAGAAAUCGAUAAGCUAUCCACCUGGGGAGUACGUUCGCAAGAAUGAAACUCAAAGGAAUUGACGGGGGCCCGCACAAGCGGAGGAACAUGUGGUUUAAUUCGAUGAUACGCGAGGAACCUUACCCGGGCGUAAAUUGCAGACGAAUUACGAGGAAACUUGUAAGCCGCAAGGCGUCUGUGAUGGUGCUGCAUGGUUGUCGUCAGCUCGUGCCGUGAGGUGUCGGCUUAAGUGCCAUAACGAGCGCAACCCUCGUGGUCAGUUACUAACAGGUUAAGCUGAGGACUCUGGCCAGACUGCCAUCGUAAGAUGUGAGGAAGGUGGGGAGGACGUCAAAUCAGCACGGCCCUUACGUCCGGGGGUACACACGUGUUACAAUGGGAGGUACAGAAGGCAGCUACCCGGCGACGGGAUGCCAAUCCCCAAAACCUCUCUCAGUUCGGAGUGGAGUCUGCAACCCGACUCCACGAAGCUGGAUUCGCUAGUAAUCGCGCAUCAGCCACGGCGCGGUGAAUAAGUUCCCGGGCCUUGCACA
rnacentral:rRNA from 1 species